rnacentral:lncRNA from 1 species
UAUUUUCUCCUCUCUCUCUCUCUCCUUACUCAAUCUAUACCGGUCAUGGUUUUACAAAGUUAGCACCCUGAAUAUAGAAACAUCUUAAUUUCUGAAUUGAGAAUGCUCUUAUACUCUGUAUUCGUAAUCCCAUGCCUAGUAGCUAGGCUACUAUAGUACUACUCUCUCUGUAAAUGAAAGCUUUCAUUCUUAGAGUUGUCUUAAGUUAAAAUUUUUAAACUUUGUCCGAAUUUCUAGGAAAAACACUAAAAUUUACAGUACCAAUACCAUUAAAUUUAUCAUAGAAUAUAUUUUCAUAAGAUACUCAUUUUAUGUCAUAGAUAUUGAUGUUCUUUUCUAUAAAAUUGGUCAAACUUAAAAAAAUUGACUGACACUACUACAUUUUUAACUAAGGUGGGCGAAAUCACUUAACCAAGGCGGUUUUUCCAACCGCCUCGGACCAAAGGUUACGAUUAAUCGUGGCGGUUGAGUUAUGGAGCCCACCUCCGUAAAUAAUUUCAGGAAAUAAAAAAGUCCAUUGAGCCCGGUAGCCCAUUGAGCCUAGUUCCGCACGCCGCCGCUGCUCGUGGUUCGAUCCGCUGCUGCUGCUGACCGAAUCUGCACUCCCACCACCUCUGGUGACUGGAUCCGCCGCCGGUGCCUGGUUGGAGGCCGAAUCCGUGUCAGGAGCUCAGAAGAUAGGGAGGUCGCACCGCACCGUUCUCGGAGAUGAGGGACGCCACGCUCAGAGGAGGGGGCGCCAGAUCCACGAGCUGCUCACCUCCACAAUGCCCUCUGCUCCGGAUCUGCCCGAUACUCACCUUCAUGAUAGCCUGCACCUCGCCUCCAUGCUUCCUUCUAGAUCUGCAAAGAGAGAGGAAGGAGUGAGGGACAUAUAUGACAGAGGAGAGAGGGAGGAGGGCAUACACCUGUGGGAGAGAGGGGUGGGUGGCGCUGGGGGCGCCAGUGCCAUUCUAGGUGACUGUGGCGCGGUCCGUGCACUUAGGCUCUACGAGCCGCUCUCUAGCACCACGAGGCCGAGAGGAGUCUCGAAGAGGAGAGAAGAGGAUGGUUGCUGGGGGAGGGAGGGAGAGAGUGAGUGGAGUGAGGGAGAGAAGAGGGAGAGAAUGGAGAAGGGAGGUGUGCGGCGCUGAGUGAGAGGAGAGGAUAGAAGUUAGGGUUGGUUUUGAG